rnacentral:rRNA from 1 species
CACGUAGUUAGCCGGUGCUUCUUAUCCAGGUACCGUCACUGACGCUUCGUCCCUGGCGAAAGGAGUUUACAACCCGAAGGCCGUCAUCCCCCACGCGGCGUCGCUGCAUCAGGCUUGCGCCCAUUGUGCAAUAUUCCCCACUGCUGCCUCCCGUAGGAGUCUGGGCCGUAUCUCAGUCCCAAUGUGGCCGUACACCCUCUCAGGCCGGCUACCCGUCGACGCCUUGGUAGGCCAUUACCCCCACCAACAAGCUGAUAGGCCGCGAGCUCAUCCCACACCGAAAAAACUUUCCACCACACCAUCCAAGACGUGGUCCUAUCUGGUAUUAGACCCAGUUUCCCAGGCUUAUCCCAAAGUGCAGGGCAGAUCACCCACGUGUUACUCACCCGUUCGCCACUCGAGUACCGAAGCAAGCUUCGGCCUUUCCGUUCGACUUGCAUGUGUUAAGCACGCCGCCAGCGUUCAUCCUGAGCCAGGAUCAAACUCU